UACGAAGGGGGCUAGCGUUGCUCGGAAUCACUGGGCGUAAAGCGCACGUAGGCGGCUUUCUAAGUCAGGGGUGAAAUCCAGGAGCUCAACUCCAGAACUGCCUUUGAUACUGGAGAGCUUGAGUCCGGGAGAGGUGAGUGGAACUCCGAGUGUAGAGGUGAAAUUCGUAGAUAUUCGGAAGAACACCAGUGGCGAAGGCGGCUCACUGGCCCGGUACUGACGCUGAGGUGCGAAAGCGUGGGGAGCAAACAGG
rnacentral:rRNA from 1 species